rnacentral:rRNA from 1 species
AACGAACGCUGGCGGCGUGCUUAACACAUGCAAGUCGAACGUGAAAGGCUUCGGCCGAGUAAAGUGGCGCACGGGUGAGUAACGCGUGGGUAAUCUGCCCUUGGGCGGGGGAUAACCUCUCGAAAGGGGGGCUAAUACCGCAUGAGACCACGGCUUUUCGGGGCUGUGGGAAAAGGUGGGUCGCAAGGCCUGCCACCUGAGGAUGAGCCCGCGUACCAUUAGGUUGUUGGUGGGGUAAUGGCCUACCAAGCCGAAGAUGGUUAGCUGGUCUGAGAGGACGAUCAGCCACACUGGGACUGAGACACGGCCCAGACUCCUACGGGAGGCAGCAGUGGGGAAUAUUGCGCAAUGGGGGAAACCCUGACGCAGCAACGCCGCGUGUGUGAAGAA